GAUGAACGCUGGCGGCGUGCCUAAUACAUGCAAGUCGAGCGAACGGACGAGAAGCUUGCUUCUCUGAUGUUAGCGGCGGACGGGUGAGUAACACGUGGAUAACCUACCUAUAAGACUGGGAUAACUUCGGGAAACCGGAGCUAAUACCGGAUAAUAUUUUGAACCGCAUGGUUCAAAAGUGAAAGACGGUCUUGCUGUCACUUAUAGAUGGAUCCGCGCUGCAUUAGCUAGUUGGUAAGGUAACGGCUUACCAAGGCAACGAUGCAUAGCCGACCUGAGAGGGUGAUCGGCCACACUGGAACUGAGACACGGUCCAGACUCCUACGGGAGGCAGCAGUAGGGAAUCUUCCGCAAUGGGCGAAAGCCUGACGGAGCAACGCCGCGUGAGUGAUGAAGGUCUUCGGAUCGUAAAACUCUGUUAUUAGGGAAGAACAUAUGUGUAAGUAACUGUGCACAUCUUGACGGUACCUAAUCAGAAAGCCACGGCUAACUACGUGCCAGCAGCCGCGGUAAUACGUAGGUGGCAAGCGUUAUCCGGAAUUAUUGGGCGUAAAGCGCGCGUAGGCGGUUUUUUAAGUCUGAUGUGAAAGCCCACGGCUCAACCGUGGAGGGUCAUUGGAAACUGGAAAACUUGAGUGCAGAAGAGGAAAGUGGAAUUCCAUGUGUAGCGGUGAAAUGCGCAGAGAUAUGGAGGAACACCAGUGGCGAAGGCGACUUUCUGGUCUGUAACUGACGCUGAUGUGCGAAAGCGUGGGGAUCAAACAGGAUUAGAUACCCUGGUAGUCCACGCCGUAAACGAUGAGUGCUAAGUGUUAGGGGGUUUCCGCCCCUUAGUGCUGCAGCUAACGCAUUAAGCACUCCGCCUGGGGAGUACGACCGCAAGGUUGAAACUCAAAGGAAUUGACGGGGACCCGCACAAGCGGUGGAGCAUGUGGUUUAAUUCGAAGCAACGCGAAGAACCUUACCAAAUCUUGACAUCCUUUGACAACCCUAGAGAUAGAGCUUUCCCCUUCGGGGGACAAAGUGACAGGUGGUGCAUGGUUGUCGUCAGCUCGUGUCGUGAGAUGUUGGGUUAAGUCCCGCAACGAGCGCAACCCUUAAGCUUAGUUGCCAUCAUUAAGUUGGGCACUCUAAGUUGACUGCCGGUGACAAACCGGAGGAAGGUGGGGAUGACGUCAAAUCAUCAUGCCCCUUAUGAUUUGGGCUACACACGUGCUACAAUGGACAAUACAAAGGGCAGCGAAACCGCGAGGUCAAGCAAAUCCCAUAAAGUUGUUCUCAGUUCGGAUUGUAGUCUGCAACUCGACUACAUGAAGCUGGAAUCGCUAGUAAUCGUAGAUCAGCAUGCUACGGUGAAUACGUUCCCGGGUCU
rnacentral:rRNA from 1 species